rnacentral:snRNA from 2 species
AUGCUAGCCGCGCAAUCUGUGCGGGCCACCAUGCUAGUUAAUGUUAUGAUUAUAGUUGAUUUGGUUGAAAAGUUUAUUCAAAUUUAAAAUUAUUAUUUUUAUUAUUUUUUGUAAUAGAGAAGAUUUGUUUUAGUUUCUUUUUCUAGAUUACUAGCAAAAAUGCCCGUGCGUUGCAACGGGUGAAAAAAA